rnacentral:rRNA from 1 species
GCUGGCGGCGUGCCUAAUACAUGCAAGUCGAGCGGUAAGGCCCUUCGGGGUACACGAGCGGCGGACGGCUUAGUAACGCGUAGGAAUCUACCCCAAAGUGAGGGAUAAGCUCCAGAAAUGGAGUCUAAUACCGCAUGUGGUCUUCGGAUUAAAGUUUUAUACGCUUUGGGAAGAGCCUGCGUUCGAUUAGCUAGUUGGUGAGGUAAUGGCUCACCAAGGCUACGAUCGAUAGUUGGUCUGAGAGGAUGAUCAGCAAGACUGGAACUGAGACACGGUCCAGACUCCUACGGGAGGCAGCAGUAAGGAAUCUUCCACAAUGGACGAAAGUCUGAUGGAGCAACGCCGCGUGCAGGAUGAAGGCCUUAGGGUUGUAAACUGCUUUUGUCAGUGAAGAAUAUGACGGUGACUAACGAAUAAGGGCCGGCUAACUACGUGCCAGCAGCCGCGGUCAUACGUAGGGCCCGAGCGUUAUCCGGAGUGACUGGGCGUAAAGAGUUGCGUAGGCGGCUUGUUAAGCAGAUAGUGAAUCAUGUGGCUCACCAUUAUGACUAUUAUCUGAGCUGGCAAGCUCGAGAAUGGUAGAGGUAACUGGAAUUCCCUGGGGGGGGAGUGAAACCGCCGA